rnacentral:rRNA from 1 species
UACGUAGGGAGCAAGCGUUGUCCGGAAUCAUUGGGCGUAAAGCGCGUGUAGGCGGUUACAUAAGUCUGGUUGUGAAAGUCGGAGGCUCAACCUUCGAAAGCCGAUGGAUACUGUGUGACUUGAGUACGGAAGAGGAGAGUGGAAUUCCUGGUGUAGCGGUGAAAUGCGCAGAUAUCAGGAGGAACACCAACGGCGAAGGCAGCUCUCUGGGACGUUACUGACGCUGAGACGCGAAAGCGUGGGGAGCAAACAGG